CCUACGGGUGGCAGCAGUAGGGAAUCUUGGACAAUGGGCGAAAGCCUGAUGGAGCAACGCCGCGUGCAGGAUGAAGGCCUUCGGGAUGGAAACUGCCUUUAGAAGGGAGAAAAAUGACGGUAACUGAGGAAUAAGGAUCGUCUAAGUACGUGCCAGCAGCCGCGGUCAUACGUAGGAUCCGAGCAUAAUCCGGAGUGACUGGGUGUAAAAAGUUGCGUAGGUGGCAAAAUACGUCGCUACGGAAAACUGGUGGCUCAACCAUUCAGACUAUUAGCUAAACUGUUAAGCUCGAGACCGUUAGAGGUAACUGGAAUUUCUGGUGUAGCGGUGAAAUCCGUAGAUAUUA
rnacentral:rRNA from 1 species